AGAAAUCCUGACGGCACUCGGCUUGUUAGAAUGUGCCAAGACCCGCACAUCUAACCUAUCCGGGGGGCAAAGAAAACGACUCGCCAUCGCUCUGGAGCUUGUCAACAACCCACCCGUCAUGUUUUUUGAUGAGCCCACAAGUGGAUUGGACAGCUCAUCAUGCUAUCAGGUGGUCUCUCUUAUGAAAGCUCUCGCUCAAGGGGGUCGGACGGUCGUAUGCACAAUUCACCAGCCCAGCGCCAAAGUGUUUGAACUCUUUGAUAAGCUUUAUGUCCUCAGUCAGGGUCAGUGUAUAUACCGGGGAAGAGUAUCAAGCCUCAUUCCUU